rnacentral:rRNA from 1 species
CAACCUGCCGAUAACUCCGGAAUAGCCUUUCGAAAGAAAGAUUAAUACCGGAUAGUAUACGAAUAUCGCAUGAUAUUUUUAUUAAAGAAUUUCGGUUAUCGAUGGGGAUGCGUUCCAUUAGUUUGUUGGCGGGGUAACGGCCCACCAAGACUACGAUGGAUAGGGGUUCUGAGAGGAAGGUCCCCCACAUUGGAACUGAGACACGGUCCAAACUCCUACGGGAGGCAGCAGUGAGGAAUAUUGGUCAAUGGGCGAGAGCCUGAACCAGCCAAGUAGCGUGAAGGAUGAAGGCUCUAUGGGUCGUAAACUUCUUUUAUAUGGGAAUAAAGUUUUCCACGUGUGGAAUUUUGUAUGUACCAUAUGAAUAAGGAUCGGCUAACUCCGUGCCAGCAGCCGCGGUAAUACGGAGGAUCCGAGCGUUAUCCGGAUUUAUUGGGUUUAAAGGGAGCGUAGGUGGAUUGUUUAGUCAGUUGUGAAAGUUUGCGGCUCAACCGUAAAAUUGCAGUUGAAACUGGCAGUCUUGAGUACAGUAGAGGUGGGCGGAAUUCGUGGUGUAGCGGUGAAAUGCUUAGAUAUCACGAAGAACUCCGAUUG